GUAUCCAUAUUUCUUUAUCUUUUCUCUUCUUUUUUCUUUUUAUUUCUUUUGAGUUGGUAAGCUAGCUGGGGAUAAGGAUGCCACGUGCACCUUACCCCCAAGCAUGCUUAUCAUCUUGAUACAUGUGCAUUGUAUAUAUAUAGAUCUUGAGCCGUACGUAGAGGAGGAGCUCGGGUGGUGUGGAGUUUCGUCGACGUCGCGCCGCGGUGCCGUUCGAGCGUGUGUUCGUCGUCGUAGCAUCGCGAGGGGGGCCGGGCGAGGGUCCGAUUCCGCCGUUUUUGUUGUCGCGCCGGAUUGUGAUUAGCGUUUGAGGUGGGUUACAUCGGCUUUACUCCUAAGUUCGUAUUGGUCGACAUGUAUAGGUUUUGAUUUCGGUAAUUAAUGUUAGCUCAAAUUCAUGGAUUAAUUGUAGAUUGUGAAAUCUGAAUUUUGGAGCAUGUUUUAUAAAUUAGGUAGAUUAUACAUGUUGGACUUGAAAAUUGAAUUAGGAGAAAACCUGCGAUUUUGGCCUGUCACCUGUAUAAACUACUUGAUUUAGCUCUAGGAGCCGUUAGAAAAUUGUACUGUCGCAGUUUCUUCGAGACGAGUACUCCAGGUAGUUUAGAAUGUAUUUACACUCGUGCUGGUUCGCCGAGUGGAUUUUUACAGGGUCGUUCAGGUUGUUUCGGACUGUUGGGUGCCGUCAGAGUUGACGGUGGACCCGUAUCGCCUUUUUGGCGUCAGAUUGUGCCGAGGGCACGUUACCUGUUGGUUGUUAGACCAGUUUGAGUCGAUUACUUGACUUUGGCUAGUUGGAGCCUGAUUGAGCUCGACAGAGAUACGCUGCAUACUCGGUUGGGUAGCGCCCACGAGUGCCACUCCGGAGUCAGGCUUGUGCUUUUGCGUUGGUGUCGCUCAUGCCAGUUGGACUUGCCCUCCACGGACCAGUUAGUGUGGAUAGAGCCGAUAGUCGCAGCGGGGCAGGGACGGGUGUAUUCACAAUCCCGGGGGACGGGUAUGCUUACAGUCCCGAUUUGG
rnacentral:lncRNA from 1 species